rnacentral:tRNA from 3 species
UGCGGUGUCGCCAAGCGGUAAGGCAGAUGACUCUGACUCAUCCAUUGCGAGGGUUCAAAUCCUUCCACCGCAACCA